rnacentral:misc_RNA from 1 species
AACGCACAUUGCGCCCCUUGGUAUUCCAUGGGGCAUGCCUGUUCGAGCGUCAUUUGUACCCUCAAGCUUUGCUUGGUGUUGGGCGUCUUGUCUCCCUUUUGGGAGACUCGCCUCAAAACAAUUGGCAGCCGGCAUAUUGGUAUCGGAGCGCAGCACAAGUCGCGCUUCUUUCCAUGAAUGUCAGCAUCCAUCAAGACCAUUUUUCACUCUUGACCUCGGAUCAGGUAGGGAUACCCGCUGAACUUAA